rnacentral:misc_RNA from 1 species
AACAUGGUCUCCGCGAGACGUCUCACCACCUCGGUUUGUGUGAGGGAGCACCUCUCCGGCAUUCUGAUUGGCUCUCCCGGACAGAUUCCAACCGUCACCACCACGGCGCUGAAGAAGGAAAGCACCCUGUCGUCUGCUUUCUCGUGGUUGAUUAGCUAGUGGUGGAGCAGUCAUUUAGUGAUGGGAGAUAGUAUUCCAAAAUUAAAAAUAAAAAGUUUGGUGUUAUUGUAUAUUGGUGUAUACUCGUAUGCUCAAUUCAGUCUAAUCAGUUAAAUUAAUUUUUUUAUCAAAAGGGUGCCAAACAAGCAAAUGUUGGUGUGUUCAAAGAGAAAGCUAAAGCUAAUCCUAAGUCAAAACAAGAUACACCAAUAUACUGUAAUACUUAUGGAGAUGUUGCUUUAGAUCAUGUUUUGAUUUUCAAUGAUUUUGGGGAGAAAUUUUAUGAAAAAUGUUGUGUCAAUUCUGCUAAAGCAACUAAACAAAUAGAUAAUGGAUUUCCUGAUAAAAGUACCAUUGAGGUGUCUAAUUCAUGCACUGGAAAUGUGGUAGGUAACGUUGGCCAAACUUCUCCAAUUAAUGUUAAUCCAACUUUAUCAACUAUGGCCCACUCUCCUGCAGGGUUUUCUGAAGUUGUAGCAUCAACUGCUGAUAGUUCUAUUCCCGAUAUUUAAUUUCAAUGCUCGGAAAACAUUGAAAAUUAAUUCAAUCCCAGUUAAAACUGCAUUAGUUUCAGCUUUAUGUCCAGUUGCUGCUCAGUCUCCUGAUAAUUAUUUGAUUAUUAAAGUAAUUUAAUAGUCACUGGAAUCAAAAUUGACAUCGCUUUCACUUCUACUCCUUUGGACCGAGGGAAGCUUACAACGGGAAAGCUUACAAGGGAAGCGACAACGCUUAAGCGUUGUCUUAUUUCCAAUGAAAUAAGAAAAACCGGAACUAAGCUGGAAUCCACUCUAUCCCUCUUUCAAGAAUAUUUACCAGAAGAUCUACACGACAUGCUUGAUGAAACUGACAGUAGUUCAGAAGAUGAUUAUGAUAGCGAAACAACUUGUGAUGAUGAAUUAAGUGAUGAAGAAUCGGUUGAACUGUAAAACAGGAUGUAAACGCACGAUACAUGCAAAAUGAAAAAAUAAAUCUUUUUGAAAAUAAAA